rnacentral:lncRNA from 1 species
UUUUUUUGAGUAUGUAACCGAUUACGCAAAAGCUGCUGUUUGAUUCUGGAAAAGGUGGUAACUAGUUACACCAAACCUGUAAUUGAUUACAUGCCGCUUCUGUUUGCUAAUGACUUGGUGGUAACCAGUUACAUAAAAGUGGUAACUAGUUACAUGUCACUUCUAUUUGUUUCUUUUGCUACAGAAAAAGGUGGUAACCAGUUACAUCCCAGAAGUAAUUUG